GUGUACGCUUACCACAAGCAAGAGCUCGUUCGCAUUGCACAUAAUAACAAAAAUGAAGAGCUGUGGGCUUGGAACUUGUGAAGUCUUUCAUUGCCAAGCUAUUCUGCAUAAGCCAGUAUCUGCAAUUUGCAAGUGAGCACAUCCAAACAUAACAGCCGUCUCUGCU
rnacentral:lncRNA from 1 species